rnacentral:rRNA from 1 species
AGAGUUUGAUUCUGGCUCAGAAUGAACGCUGACGGCGUGCUUAACACAUGCAAGUCGCACGAGAACGCUUCAGCUUGCUGAGGCUAGUAAAGUGGCGCACGGGUGAGUAACGCGUGGGUAACCUACCUCCGAAUCGGGGAUAACCCGCCGAAAGGCGAGCUAAUACCGGAUAACAUCCUUUUGGCUUCGGCCGGGGGGAUCAAAGGUGGCCUCUCCAUGGAAGCUACUGUUUGGAGAUGGGCCCGCGUCCCAUUAGCUAGUUGGUAGGGUAAUGGCCUACCAAGGCGACGAUGGGUAGCUGGUCUGAGAGGAUGAUCAGCCACACUGGAACUGACACACGGUCCAGACUCCUACGGGAGGCAGCAGUGAGGAAUUUUGCGCAAUGGGGGAAACCCUGACGCAGCAACGCCGCGUGAGUGAUGAAGGCUUUCGGGUCGUAAAGCUCUGUCAAGUGGGAAGAACCCCCGUGGUGCUAAUACCACCAUGGGCUGACGGUACCACUGAAGGAAGCACCGGCUAACUCCGUGCCAGCAGCCGCGGUAAUACGGGGGGUGCAAGCGUUAUUCGGAAUCACUGGGCGUAAAGCGCGCGCAGGCGGCCGUUUAAGUCAGAUGUGAAAGCCCGGGGCUCAACUCCGGAAGUGCAUUUGAUACUAUUCGGCUUGAGUAUGGGAGAGGGAAGUGGAAUUCCUGGUGUAGAGGUGAAAUUCGUAGAUAUCAGGAGGAACACCGGUGGCGAAGGCGACUUCCUGGACCAAUACUGACGCUGAGGCGCGAAGGCGUGGGGAGCAAACAGGAUUAGAUACCCUGGUAGUCCACGCAGUAAACGGUGAUCACUAGGUGUAGCGGGUAUUGACCCCUGCUGUGCCGAAGCUAACGCAUUAAGUGAUCCGCCUGGGGAGUACGGCCGCAAGGUUAAAACUCAAAUGAAUUGACGG